UACGUAGGGUCCGAGCGUUGUCCGGAAUUAUUGGGCGUAAAGGGCUCGUAGGCGGUCUGUUGCGUCGGGAGUGAAAACUUACAGCUUAACUGUGAGCGUGCUUCCGAUACGGGCAGACUUGAGGUAUUCAGGGGAGAACGGAAUUCCUGGUGUAGCGGUGAAAUGCGCAGAUAUCAGGAGGAACACCGGUGGCGAAGGCGGCCCCCUGGACCGGUACUGACGCUGAGGCGCGAAAGCGUGGGUAGCAAACGGG
rnacentral:rRNA from 1 species